rnacentral:rRNA from 1 species
AUUGAACGCUGGCGGCAGGCCUAACACAUGCAAGUCGAACGAGUGGCGGACGGGUGAGUAAUGUCUGGGAAACUGCCUGAUGGAGGGGGAUAACUACUGGAAACGGUAGCUAAUACCGCAUACCAUCGGAUGUGCCCAGAUGGGAUUAGCUAGUAGGUGGGGUAAAGGCUAACCUAGGCGACGAUCCCUAGCUGGUCUGAGGGGAUGACCGGCCACACGGGAAUGGAGACACGGUCCAGACUCCAACGGGAGGCAGCGGGGGGGAAUAUUGCACAAUGGGCGCAAGCCUGAUGAAGCCAGGCCGCGUGUAGGAAGAAGGCCUUCGGGUUGUAAAGUACUUUAAGCGGGGAGGCGUUACCCGCAGAAGAAGAACCGGCUAACUCCGUGCCAGCAGCCGCGGUAUAC